rnacentral:rRNA from 1 species
AUGGCGCAUGGUGUUGGGCGGUGGUUUGGCUGGUCGGCUCCGGUUGGGCGGUGGGGUUGGUGUGCGGGAGAAAUCCUUGCCGGUUCGGCCGGCUCUGAUGCGGUGACACUGACGGGUGCCACCUUUCCUUCUUGGAGGGUGUUGGUGGUAGCCAUCCUCCACUUCCCUCCGCGUACCGGGGGAAACCCUAGGACUCGUCCGGGCGGCAGCGUCGUCGGCGUCGCAUUCCUUCUUGAAGGUGCCGCUUGGUACGCGGCAGAUCGGAGCCUCGGGCGGUGGUGGUGUGUCUCCGGAGGGCGCAGCGGUGGCGGUUCAUCCAUGCUUUGUCAAACUGCCGUUGUUGGCAUUCUUUUCUUCUUUUCUUUUGGGCUUGUUGUGCUGCUCGCCCCAGCAAUGCUAUGUGUAUGGUGUUCGUUGCUUUGGAAUACAAAGCGGGGGAAACCCUUUUUCGGUAAAACUACAUCCUCCGUCCCAUAA